rnacentral:sRNA from 1 species
GAGAGAGCGUUGCCGCAGGCAACGCCCCGAAGGGCGAAGCGCGCAGCGCUGAGUAAUCCUUCCCCCACCACCA